rnacentral:rRNA from 1 species
AUGGCAGAUUACGGCUAUCCCGACGGCGGCGGCGAAGAGGAGGACAUGCAGUGGCCACCGGCUCCUCCCGCCUACGGCUACCCCGACGACGACGGCGGCGGCGAGCGGCCGCCCUUCGUCCUCAUCGAUCCACGCGCCUACUUCGCCGACCGCAAGAACGCCACCACCGCCGUCAUCGAUAUGGAGGCCGGGGCCCCCAAUCUCAGGGGCCGACUCCAGGUCACCUUCUGCGCCGUCGCCCCGCCGCUCGUUUCCUACUUCUGCGUCCACGCCACCCACAUGGACCACACCGAGUUCCUCGUCGCGCCCUCCAUCCUGGCCACCGAGACCGACGGCGGCCUCGCCCUCCUACGCGCCCUCCAUCCUGCAUGCAUGUUUAAUUUCACUCCAACCCGGGCUGGACUGGGCUGGGCUGGGCUGGGCAGCACUUGGGUAGGCUCCUUUUUACUCCGACUCCCACUGCAAUUCGGUUUCAUCUCGAAUCCAUCUCCCCACCCAACCUGGAUCCAUCGCGCCCCAUAA